AUCCAGAAAACAGUGAUGUGAUAAAUUCCAAGCACAUAUCUGAUGAUUCCAUGUGGAAAGCAGCUACUGAGUUUUCUGGAC
rnacentral:snoRNA from 13 species